GAUGAACGCUGGCGGCGUGCCUAAUACAUGCAAGUCGAGCGGUAAGGCCCCUUCGGGGGUACACGAGCGGCGGACGGCUGAGUAACACGUAGGAACGUACCCCAAAGUGAGGGAUAAGCACCAGAAAUGGUGUCUAAUACCGCAUGUGCUCUAAGGAGUAAAGCUUCGGCGCUUUGGGAACGGCCUGCGCAUGAUUAGCUUGUUGGUGAGGUAAUGGCUCACCAAGGCGACGAUCAUUAGCUGGUCUGAGAGGAUGACCAGCCAGACUGGGACUGAGAACGGCCCAGACUCCUACGGGAGGCAGCAGUAGGGAAUUUUCCACAAUGGGCGAAAGCCUGAUGGAGCAACGCCGCGUGCAGGAUGAAUGCCUUCGGGUUGUAAACUGCUUUUAUAUGUGACGAAUAUGACGGUGGCAUAUGAAUAAGCACCGGCUAACUACGUGCCAGCAGCCGCCGUAA
rnacentral:rRNA from 1 species